UGGGGAAUAUUGCGCAAUGGGGGAAACCCUGACGCAGCAACGCCGCGUGGAGGAAGAAGGUCUUCGGAUUGUAAACUCCUGUCUUCUGGGACGAUAAUGACGGUACCAGAGGAGGAAGCCACGGCUAACUACGUGCCAGCAGCCGCGGUAAUACGUAGGUGGCGAGCGUUGUCCGGAAUUACUGGGCGUAAAGGGCGCGUAGGCGGUUCUUUAAGUUAGAUGUGAAAACCCGAGGCUUAACUUCGGGACUGCAUUUAAAACUGAAGGGCUUGAGUGCAGGAGAGGUAAGUGGAAUUCCUAGUGUAGCGGUGAAAUGCGUAGAUAUUAGGAGGAACACCAGUGGCGAAGGCGACUUACUGGACUGUAACUGACGCUGAGGCGCGAAAGCGUGGGGAGCAAACAGG
rnacentral:rRNA from 1 species